CAGUAGCCGCGGGAAUACGAAGGGGGCUAGCGUUGUUCGGAUUUACUGGGCGUAAAGCGCACGUAGGCGGACUUUUAAGUCAGGGGUGAAAUCCCGGGGCUCAACCCCGGAACUGCCUUUGAAACUAGGUGACUAGAAUCUUGGAGAGGUCAGUGGAAUUCCGAGUGUAGAGGUGAAAUUCGUAGAUAUUCGGAAGAACACCAGUGGCGAAGGCGACUGACUGGACAAGUAUUGACGCUGAGGUGCGAAAGCGUGGGGAGCAAACAGGAUUAGAUACCCGCGUAGUCCCUGUCUCUUAUAC
rnacentral:rRNA from 1 species